rnacentral:rRNA from 1 species
UAAUACGGAAGGGGCAAGCGUUGUUCGGAAUUAUUGGGCGUAAAGGGCGUGUAGGUGGUUCUGUAUGUCUACCGUGAAAGCGUACGGCUCAACCGUAUUUAGUCGGUAGAAACUGCAGGACUUGAGGCUGGGCGGGGCUGGUGGAAUUCCCUGUGUAGCGGUGAAAUGCGUAGAGAUGGGGGAGAACACUCGUGGCGAAGGCGGCCAGCUAG